rnacentral:rRNA from 1 species
AGAUUGAACGCUGGCGGCAUGCCUAACACAUGCAAGUCGAACGGGAGUAGCAAUACUCUAGUGGCGGACGGGUGAGGAAUACGUAGGAAUUUGCCCUUAAGUGGGGGAUAACCCGGGGAAACCCGGAUUAAUACCGCAUGACCUCGAAAGAGCAAAGUGGGGGAUCGCAAGACCUCACGCUUUUGGAGAAGCCUACGUCGGAUUAGCUAGUUGGUGAGGUAAUGGCUCACCGAAGGCGACGAU